GACGCAUUGAAAGACCUCCAGUCGUUCCUAACGUACCUUGCGCUGGGGUUCGAGAAGAUGGUGUGACAGCUAAAGAUGUUAUUAUUGAUAAAUUCACUAACUUAUGGGCACGUUUUUACGUCCCAAUCUACCCUAGCACUGGCAGCAGGCUGCCUUUUCUUGUUUACUUUCACGGAGGUGGAUUCUGUGUUGGCUCAGCUGCUUGGAGCUGUUAUCAUGAGUUCUUGGCCAAUCUUGCUUCUAAAGCAAGUUGCAUGAUCAUGUCCAUAAACUACCGUCUAGCUCCUGAAAAUCGUCUCCCUGCUGCUUAUGAUGAUGGCUUCAACACUCUUAUGUGGGUGAAACAGCAGGCUGUAAUUCGUUCUCCUGAGCAAAAGUGGUGGUCAAGCCAGUGCAAUUUCUCCAGCUUGCUCUUGGCAGGUGAUAGUGCUGGUGCCAACAUAGCUUACAAUGUGUCUACGAGGCUAGGAUCCAAUGUCACAUCUGAAUCCAGUUUAAAGCCAUUGUGUCUCAAGGGCAUCAUCCUGAUCCAACCUUUCUUCGGAGGUGAGGCACGAACUUCAUCUGAGAAAAAUAUGAUUCAACCCGCCAAUUCAGCACUAACUUUAUCAGCCUCUGAUGCAUAUUGGAGGUUGUCACUGCCUUUAGGGGCUAACCGUGAUCAUCCAUGUUGCAACCCUCUGGCAAAUGGCACGAAUAAAUUCCGUGAUUUGCAGCUUCCAUCUAUUCUGGUUUGCAUAUCCGAGAUGGAUAUACUAAAGGACAGGAACUUGGAAUUUUGCACUGCCUUGGCUAGUGCUGGGAAGAAAGUGGAUAAGAUUAUUUACAAAGGAGUUGGACAUGCAUUUCAAAUUCUGCACAACUCUCACUUCUCUCAAAUUCGGGUUCAAGAAAUGAUAUCACAUCUCAGGGCUUUCAUCAAUCAAUAAUAAGUGGACCUCUUGACAUUUUGGUUUCCAUGAUUUCAUUUCCAUCUUUCCUUGGUAUCCUGCCAUAUACUUUUGUCAAAAGCUUUUAGAUUUCAUUAAUUAUGUUUAUUUAUAAGUCUUCAUGAACACC
rnacentral:misc_RNA from 1 species